GAGCACUUCAGUUUGGACGUCAGUACUUUCAUGAGGGAAAGAUGAAGGAAUUUUUUUUGUUUGAAUCCUGCCUCCGUCGCUCACACAGUGUGACCUAGAGCAAGUUCUCUCUUGCUGGAGCCUGCUUCCUGCUUGGCAAACAGGAUGAUCACACCCGAACCUACCUCAUCGCGUCUCUGUGAGUGUCUAAACAAGCGUGACUGGGUUUAACAUUUGUGUGGACGGGCUCAGGGCUGGUGUGUGUGAGCAGGGUGGGUUCAGGAGCAGGAGGCAGGGUUCAGCCCAGUGCCCAGUCAUGCAAAUGGCCCGAGGUGUGGAGAGGGAGGUGGCUCUGGGGUUAGGAAAGUUGAGUUCAGAUUUUGAGAUGAGGGAACUGAAGAAAUAACUUUCCCAGGGCCACACCCUCAGAUAGGCAAGGCACCAACCCCAAAAUUUGGGAACGAAUUUAAUGUGUAAUAAUAUAUGGGGAGGCCCUGAAGUUGAAUCGUGAGACCAAAAUCAGAACUCUGUGGGAUCCCUUUAUCAUUACUGUGUGGUUUUCGUGUAGCUUUUGCUCUGAGGGCUUCUGAAAGUUUUGCACACAGAGAUACACACACCGUCCUGUUAAGACCCGCAUUCCCAAAGCGCCCUCAUAGCCCAAGAAGACACAGGACAAGCUAAAGAGCAAGGGGAAGGAGAGCCAUCCAGGGACGAGUCUGGAAGUUAAGCGACUUGGGCUCUUUCCUCUCGGGGCUCUACACUGGCUUUUGAAGCCCGCUUUUCCCAUCUGCAAAACGACGCUGUUCGAUCCAGGGCUCCUGGAGGCCUUGGAAAGCCUUGCACGGCUUCCCUUGGACCUUCCCGACUGCCUCAGCCUCAGGGCUCUCCCAAGCCUGUGACUGCCCCAUUUCAGCUUUAUUUUCUUACCACCUUCUGGAUUUAUCUAAGCCUUGUUGCUGCCGUUGAUUUCUGUCUAGACCGUAGUCUACUGCUGCCUGCUCUAGGGAAAGUAGGGACUCGUGAGCUUACGAGAGCUGCUGUGACCAUGACCACGGCGGUUGUAACAGUUGCUUGAUGUGUAUCAGCGAACAAACAAUUGGAAUAAAAGUGAAGGGCCGAGAACACAGCCCUGAACCCUCUGAA